rnacentral:lncRNA from 1 species
AGAGGAAGCUUCUUCAGGCAGGACGAGUGAGGAGAAACUGAAAAAGUGCAUCCUGCUGGCAACACAGGAAGUGACUUGGCUGCCAGUGACCCUCAGGUGGCAAGUGAGGAGUGAAACCCCAGCUCUUGGCCCUCAGAGCUGCAUUUCAAAAUGCCCAAGCAAUAGGAACAGGAACCACACCCAAGUUCUGCAGCAGCAGUCUACACCAGAACUGAUGGACUGUGCCUUCUGCAAGGGAGAGUCCUCUAGACAGAAGAUCCCGGCUAAACUUCUUCUGUACAUUGCUGAGGAUGUCGUACACGACUCUCUCCACUGGGACCAGGGCUUCAGAGUUGCCUGAAGAACCAGGAACAACUUGAAGAUAGAGAAGCAAACAGGACUCCCUGAGUUCUGUCCUCACAUGACCCAACUGCCUCUGGCUCUGGGAUUUGGAGUAAGUAGGCUUUGGAAGGCAGCCCAGCUUAGGUGUGUCUACUUGCAUCCUAGUAUCUGUUGUUACAUUACACAAGUGACCCUGGGAUGCUCUGCACUUCGGAGCAUUCCUGCUUGCUAUUCGUCGCUGUCACCAUGUGCCUCAGCCUCAGUUACUGCAGAGGUGAAUGUAAAUGGUUCCUGUGAUGUCUAUCCCUCCAGUUAUCUUCUGACUUACAAAGGUGAUGUCCCUUCAUCCCUGGAGGUGCUUCAGCCUGUUGGCUGCACCCAGAAGUACAGCAUGAUACAGCACAGGGCAGGCUUGCUGUCAGGACUGAGUUCAUUCUCCACACUCACCUGGAGCUGUCCUUUAGAGUGAGCGUUAGAAAGAGAAGAGAGGUCAGAAGUCACAAUGAACCAGCCACUCCUACAGGAGCUCACAGGAAGUCCACACAGCACCAGACAAGCUCUGGGACAGAAGCAAGGAAAUGAAGCAGAGUGUGGAGUUAGGGCGACCAUAGAACUCUCUGACAGCUAGCCUACUGCAGAGAAGGCUGUGUAGUGGCUAUUCCUGGUUGUCAACUUGACAAUAUUUGGAAUGAACUACAAUCCGGAAUUGGAAGGCUCACCAGUGACCCUUAUCUGGAGGCUUGGAGAUCCUUAUCUGGAUCUUGGUUUGAAGAUCUUCAGCCAUAGUGGCUAUGGAUUCCAGAAGA